AGAGAGAGAGAGAGAGAGAGAGAGAGAGAGAGAGAGAGAGAGAGAGAGCGUCUUGGACGGGAACAAACGGGAUGGAGGUAAAGGCUAUCCCUUGUUCUGCCCAAGCACCUAGAAUUUGUUGUUUGGUCCAAAGCACUGCUGACCCUUUCCCUCGCCCUUUCUGUUUCUGUGACACUGGAUCCUAUACCAUGGAUGGUGCCUGGAUAGAAGCAGAAAUGUGGAGAGCAUGCUCAGAUCAGCUUGGGAGCUGGAGCUGCGGUUUUCUGACACACGGACACUUGGGAACACAUUCUUCCAACUGUCAGAGGACUUCAGAUGGCACACUGCACACUGUCCUUGUGAUGGGUGAUUCGAUGGUUUACCAACUUGUAUCCAACAUUACUUCGUGAAAGAACAGUUCUAACAAUUUUAUGAUCCUUCCUAUCGAAAAAGAAAAGUAGACCAAAUACUGCUGUGAUUCUGCUCAUGAGGAUUCCAGAUUCUGAGUUUGGCUCUCCUACAUUUCACAUCCCACACCCUCAACCACAUAGCAACCCACGCUCUCCCACAUCCAUCACAGCUGGGGCGCCACCCAUGGUGACACUGACUUAGGGUUAGAGUCAUGCUGCUCUUCCCAGUUGUGUUGAGUCAUCUGCACAUUCUCUCACCUUUGAAUGUCACUCUGCCACGUGAGCAAGCACUGCUUAGCUGGGACAUGGUUUGUGGAGUUUGCUAUUGAGUAC
rnacentral:lncRNA from 1 species